rnacentral:rRNA from 1 species
ACAGCAGUCGCCGCGGGAACACGUAGGUGGCAAGCGUUAUCCGGAAUUAUUGGGCGUAAAGCGCGCGUAGGUUGUUUCUUAAGUCUGAUGUGAAAGCCCCCGGCUCAACCGGGGAGGGUCAUUGGAAACUGGGAAACUUGAGUGCAGAAGAGGAGAGUGGAAUUCCACGUGUAGCGGUGAAAUGCGUAGAGAUGUGGAGGAACACCAGUGGCGAAGGCGACUCUCUGGUCUGUAACUGACGCUGAGGAGCGAAAGCGUGGGGAGCGAACAGGAUUAGAUACCCCUGUAGUCCCUGUCUCUUAUAC